AUGCAAGUCGAACGGAAAGGCCAGUGCUUGCACUGGUACUCGAGUGGCGAACGGGUGAGUAACACGUGGGUGAUCUGCCCUGCACUUCGGGAUAAGCCUGGGAAACUGGGUCUAAUACCGGAUAGGACCACAUUUUGGAUGGUGUGGUGGAAAGUUUUUCGGUGUGGGAUGAGCUCGCGGCCUAUCAGCUUGUUGGUGGGGUAAUGGCCUACCAAGGCGUCGACGGGUAGCCGGCCUGAGAGGGUGUACGGCCACAUUGGGACUGAGAUACGGCCCAGACUCCUACGGGAGGCAGCAGUGGGGAAUAUUGCACAAUGGGCGCAAGCCUGAUGCAGCGACGCCGCGUGGGGGAUGACGGCCUUCGGGUUGUAAACUCCUUUCGCUAGGGGCGAAGCGCAAGUGACGGUACCUGGAGAAGAAGCACCGGCUAACUACGUGCCAGCAGCCGCGGUAAUACGUAGGGUGCGAGCGUUGUCCGGAAUUACUGGGCGUAAAGAGCUCGUAGGUGGUUUGUCGCGUCGUUUGUGUAAGCCCGCAGCUUAACUGCGGGACUGCAGGCGAUACGGGCAUAACUUGAGUGCUGUAGGGGAGACUGGAAUUCCUGGUGUAGCGGUGGAAUGCGCAGAUAUCAGGAGGAACACCGAUGGCGAAGGC
rnacentral:rRNA from 1 species